ensembl:lncRNA
AAUGCUUUCUGCUGUCUUACGUCUUUGCGUUUCAAUCGGACUUCGCUUCUCACUGCUGCGCGUUACGUGUGCUUCUGGCACGUACCGUGCGGCCAUGCCGGGCCUAUGAGGCAGCCCGGCCUCGCUGACGGGAGCCGGCUGGAAUUCCCGCAGUAGGAAGUGGGAAGAGCCCCGUGUGCAGAAAGGUAGCUUAACUGUUACUGUGUAACAACAAACACCUGGAACGCAGGAGCUUCAAAGCCCUAAAUGGUCAGAGAGAAAAACAACAUACUCCCAAAUUCCAGUUCACUUACUUCUUGUGUGACCAAGGAAACACCUGGACAUCAAAUGGACUUGCAGGGAAACAGAGAUUGUGAAACCACCAAGGCCAUCACUUCAGUAUGGUGGCUAUGGACCCACUUCAAGAGUUCAUAAGAUCAUCAAAUAAACAGUACAGGAAAAAAAAAAAAAAAAAGGCUGUUUUUUCCCCCUUUACAAAAUGCUGCAUAAUCCCAAUAAGGAAGAAUAGCUGUGUUUAAUGGCCUUCUGGAUUUGUCUGUGUGAAAAAUGGUAUGGGUGCAGACUUGAUGCUGCUGAAACCUAUUCAGAUUCGCAAAAGAAACUCUAAAAAUGCUGUGCCAUGGUAACUGUAAUAGAAAUGUUUUUCACCUGCUCAGUGCUCCUACAAGAUAAGGCAUCUGAGAGUAAAAAAAGAAGUCACUUAGUUGCUUGUUCCAGCUCUACUUUUGCAAACACACCUAAAUGUGAUGUUGCUCACUGCAUUGUCAGAGGUAUCAGCAGUCAACAUAGAAAGUGAUUUAAGUUUGCUUUAAUUGUCCGGAAGAAAUAAACAGAGAAGAUACAGUGAGGGCUCAUCCCCUUCUGCUCUGUUUAUUCAUCUUAAAAUACUUCAAUAGUGAUAAACUCUUCUGUACACAAUCUUUCUGUUGCAAAGUAUUUUAUGUUGUCAAGUUUAUUCCAGGUGGAAAGAAGGUAUUAAGAAAUAAAACAAGCAGCUCCCAGAGGAUUUUUCUUUUGCUUUCCUUUCCUCUCGCUCCCUCUACCCCAGAUUACAAACCCACUUGACUAGUUUUAUCCUCUAGCUAUACCAUAGACCUGAUCCUUCACUGUCAUCUGUUUAGUCACUUACACAAUGGUUGUACAGAAUCUGCAGUCAGCAUGAGGUGCAGCAUAUGACCAUGAAGUUAAGAAUAAUGGUGUAGGAGAAGGUUAUUGCCAGUAGUCGUAACCUUGGG